rnacentral:rRNA from 1 species
UACGGAGGGCGCAAGCGUUGUUCGGAAUCACUGGGCGUAAAGCGCGUGUAGGCGGCCGGGCAAGUCGGAUGUGAAAUCCCGAGGCUCAACCUCGGAACUGCAUUCGAAACUGCCCGGCUCGAGUCCCGGAGAGGAUGGCGGAAUUCCCGGUGUAGGGGUGAAAUCCGUAGAUAUCGGGAGGAACACCAGUGGCGAAGGCGGCCAUCUGGACGGUGACUGACGCUGAGACGCGAAAGCGUGGGGAGCAAACAGG